AUGAGCUCCGCCGGCACGAGGGCGGCCGGUGGAACAUCGUCGGCCGCGCUAGGUUCGCGGACCGGCGGCUCGUCGUCUAGCCUGGGCGGCUCGUCGUCUGCCCCGCGCGGCUCGUCUUCCGCCCCGCGCCGUCCCCCUCCGGCGGCCGCGCCGUCUCCAAGCUCGUCCCGCCGUCCGGUUCCCGCCCUCGCCCGGCCCGCCUCCCCUCCCGUCGUCGAGAUCCCGCCGGAGGAGUUUGCACCGCGCGAGGACGGCGACCCCGAUGACUUCCCCGGCUACCUCAUCGCACUGCGGGCGUCGCAGGCAGAAGCGGCGGCCGCGGAGGCGAGAGAGGCCGCCGAGCUGCAGGCCGCACUCGACGCCGCGGCGGCUAUGGCGGUGGCAGCAGAGGCCGCCGAGCUGCAGGCCGCACUGGAUGCGGCGGCGGCGGCCAUCGAAGCGGUGCAGCCACAGGUGGCUCUGGAGGAGGGCGACGGCGGAGGCGGCUACUGGGACGACGGCGGCAAGAGCAGCGACGACGGCGACGGUGCCGUUGGUGCGGGGGAGAUCGUCGACCUCGCCGCCUCCGACGACGACGAGUAG
rnacentral:rRNA from 1 species